GACGAACGCUGGCGGCGUGCCUAAUACAUGCAAGUUGAGCGCUGAAGGUUGGUACUUGUACCGACUGGAUGAGCAGCGAACGGGUGAGUAACGCGUGGGGAAUCUGCCUUUGAGCGGGGGACAACAUUUGGAAACGAAUGCUAAUACCGCAUAAAAACUUUAAACACAAGUUUUAAGUUUGAAAGAUGCAAUUGCAUCACUCAAAGAUGAUCCCGCGUUGUAUUAGCUAGUUGGUGAGGUAAUGGCUCACCAAGGCGAUGAUACAUAGCCGACCUGAGAGGGUGAUCGGCCACAUUGGGACUGAGGCACGGCCCAAACUCCUACGGGAGGCAGCAGUAGGGAAUCUUCGGCAAUGGACGAAAGUCUGACCGAGCAACGCCGCGUGAGUGAAGAAGGGUUUCGGAUCGUAAAACUCUGUUGGUAGAGAAGAACGUUGGUGAGAGUGGAAAGCUCAUCAAGUGACGGUAACUACCCAGAAAGGGACGGCUAACUACGUG
rnacentral:rRNA from 1 species